GACGAACGCUGGCGGCGUGCCUAAUACAUGCAAGUCGAACGCAUUUUCUUUCACCGUAGCUUGCUACACCGAAAGAAAAUGAGUGGCGAACGGGUGAGUAACACGUGGGCAACCUGCCCAUCAGCGGGGGAUAACACUUGGAAACAGGUGCUAAUACCGCAUAAUUCCAUUUACCGCAUGGUAGAGGGAUGAAAGGCGCUUUUGCGUCACUGAUGGAUGGACCCGCGGUGCAUUAGCUAGUUGGUGGGGUAACGGCCUACCAAGGCUGCGAUGCAUAGCCGACCUGAGAGGGUGAUCGGCCACACUGGGACUGAGACACGGCCCAGACUCCUACGGGAGGCAGCAGUAGGGAAUCUUCGGCAAUGGACGCAAGUCUGACCGAGCAACGCCGCGUGAGUGAAGAAGGUUUUCGGAUCGUAAAACUCUGUUGUUGGAGAAGAACAAGGAUGAGAGUGGAAAGUUCAUCCCUUGACGGUAUCUAACCAGAAAGCCACGGCUAACUACGU
rnacentral:rRNA from 1 species